rfam:Bursaphelenchus xylophilus, Ka4C1 (inbred line), WGS project CADV01000000 data, contig: scaffold01268.24
CAAACGGCCCUCUUUAGGGCCACAUAUUACACGUAAUUUUUUAACCU